CAGAACGUGGCUGAGCAGCCAAGCAUCUCCCCUACACCGAGAAUACAUCCAUGCAACUUGGGUCGUUCUGA
rnacentral:tRNA from 1 species